UAAACUCAAGCUUAUCUUUCUUGUCUGGUAGGAGGCACUUCACACACUGGAAGCUGCAAUAUUUUCUCUUUGUACGUAGCAAUGUACUACACCAAAGGUAAGUUUAAUGGCUUUCAGAUUGUAAUGAGGGGUCCUUUUAUGAUUUAUUUUAGCUUUGAAAAAUGUGGAAAAGAUGAAGAUGCAAUAGUCAGAUAUGAUCCAGUCAUACUUAAUUCUUGACUGCAAUCUUAGUUCAGAAUGCAUGGGUAUAUUUGCAUAAGUAUUACUAUUUGCACAUUUGAUCAUGUUUUAUUUUUUGCAUUAAUAGUAAUUACUAUAAAAACAAUCAUUUUAAGGUGAAUUCAAUUUAAGGCUUGUGCUUUUACUGUCACACAUAUGGCCUAAAGCUUCAGGCCCAUAAUGGAAAAAGGUUACAGCAGUUAAGCUCAGUAAAGGAAUCUUUGUAAGAUACAACAAAUGUGUUUAUGUUUCAACUCUUCUGUAAUUUUAUUUUAAUGUUUGCUCUUCCAUGUUGUUUAAGAUGACCCCGGGACAGCAAUGUUCCACUUCACAACUUUCUCUGAACAGCACAUUCCUCUAUCUGUCUUACAUAUUAGAGAUUCCAGUCACACUGGCAGAGGUUUUAAGAAUAUCGAAGUUAAAAAGAAGGAGAGUUGCUCUGUGGUGUUCACUGUAACGGUGGUGAUCUUCUAAAAGCACGUAACCAUGGAUCCAUCUGCAACUAUUAUGGGAAGGCAAGUGCUUGAUUCUUAUCUAUUGUCUAAAUGUAUUCUUAGACACUACCUUAAUAAUGUUACAUGUCAUAAUGUAUAUGAUAGAAAGGAGUAAUACAGUCUGAUUAUGUUUUCUUAGGCAAUAUAAAGGUGAAGAACUGAAGACAUGAAAAAACCAUGAAAAAUCAUAAAAUGAAAAAUGACUGUAAGGUACAUGUCUGAGAAAAAUGUCACAGGUAUAUAUAUGGAAAAUGACAGCAUAAAAUCCUGUAAUUCUGUUUACUAUUGUUCUUACAUUAUAUUAUUCCACCCUAUUGUCUUUUACUCAUGCCUUAAGAACAAUAAUAAAAAAAUGCAAGCAAUCAA